rnacentral:rRNA from 1 species
GACGAACGCUGGCGGCGUGCUUAACACAUGCAAGUCGAACGGAAAGGCCCUGCUUUUGUGGGGUGCUCGAGUGGCGAACGGGUGAGUAACACGUGAGUAACCUGCCCUUGACUUUGGGAUAACUUCAGGAAACUGGGGCUAAUACCGGAUAGGAGCUCCUGCUGCAUGGCGGGGGUUGGAAAGUUUCGGCGGUUGGGGAUGGACUCGCGGCUUAUCAGCUUGUUGGUGGGGUAGUGGCUUUCCAAGGCUUUGACGGGUAGCCGGCCUGAGAGGGUGACCGGCCACAUUGGGACUGAGAUACGGCCCAGACUCCUACGGGAGGCAGCAGUGGGGAAUAUUGCACAAUGGGCGGAAGCCUGAUGCAGCAACGCCGCGUGCGGGAUGACGGCCUUCGGGUUGUAAACCGCUUUCGCCUGUGACGAAGCGUGAGUGACGGUAAUGGGUAAAGAAGCACCGGCUAACUACGUG